rnacentral:rRNA from 1 species
GGUAAACGCUGGCGGCGUGCCUAAAACAUGCAAGUCGAACGGUGUCCUUCGGGCGACAGUGGCAGACGGCUGAGUAACGCGUGGGUGACGUACCCGCUUGUGGGGAAGUAACUGCCCGAAAGGGUGGCUAAUACCGCAUACGCCCGCCUGAUUCGGUAAGUUCAGUGGGGAAAGCUUCGCAAGAGGCGCAGAUGGAGCGGCCCGCGUCCGAUUAGCUAGCUGGUGAGGUAACGGCUCACCAGGGCGACGAUCGGUAGCUGGUCUCAGAGGAUGAUCAGCCAGACUGGGACUGAGACACGGCCCAGACUCCUACGGGAGGCAGCAGUUAGGAAUUUUGGGCAAUGGGCGC